rnacentral:lncRNA from 1 species
CCACAAUGCAGUACAUAUGUUGAGAUGCUGAAGAGGUCUCUCCCAGCCAAGACAUUGCUAGUUUUUUCAAAUUAAGUUAAAAUACACAAGUCCUUUUCAAAAUAAUAUUAUGAUAUAUGAGCCAGAAACUCACCAGGUGUUUCAAGGCAUUAGAAAGCAGUCGUCUCCCAAAUGGCUUAUCAAAAUCAGCAAUAAUCCAGACAGUAACAGCAUAUAACGCAUCCUCAUCCUUUUUUGUUAAAUACUUCAUGCUGUCUGAAAUUACAGCAGUUUUAUCUUGUGAGUCCAAAAAGGAGAAAGUAGAGAAGUCCUGUACAUCAAAUGGAACAGAUGUAGAUCUGAAAUGUAGGUAUCUUCUUUCUGCUCCAAGAAUACUGGGGUUUAUAUGAGAAA